CUGCUUUAGUAUAUUUGUUAGUAUGUUGGCUUUUCGGGCCGGAGGUUCAGAAGGUUCUGAAAGCAGU
rnacentral:tRNA from 1 species